rnacentral:lncRNA from 1 species
GUGUUGUCCAAAUUAUCAUUCAUCUCAGUUUUAGCUCAUACCAAGAACUUUGCUCAAUGUUUUUCUUUGUUCUUUUUUUUUAAAUUUUUUUCUAUAUAUUUUUAUUUAGCUUACCUAACUUAUUUUUCAUAGUAACUUUAUUAUCCAAGGGGGACUUAAUAUAAAGCUUUAUUUCACAGAAAAGAAAUAUGAGACUUAGGGGGCUGAAUGCUUUGCCCAGCUUUCUCUGAUUAAUGACAAAACCAUGAUGUGGGCUCAGGUGUCUUGAUUAAAAGUCCUCUGCCUUUUUUAUUCCAUCUCACUGUGCCCCUGGCUUAAAUUGGUGAGGGCAUCUUACCUUCUUUUUCUUUCCUUCUGCCUACUUGAACUUUGAGGGCUCACCCCUACAAUGGCACAUUUAUCUAAGCCUACAGCAGCUCCAAAUGGCUUAGCCAGUGCAUAAACCACUCAUAUUGAUAUGGCCUAAGAACAGGGGCUUUGAGGAAUCAUCUUAUAUCUCACAUAUGGAAAAUAAACUCUUUCUCUUAUUUUCUAUGAUUUUCCCUGAAAAAAAAAGUGCCUAAAAUAUAUAUACUAUGAGAAUUUACUUUUUAAGUCAGUUAAUGUUCAUCUGAUUGUUCCCAAAAGGCCCUUAGGGCGGGAUCCAUCCAUGUUGUAGAGAAGAAAUCAGGGCAUUGAGUGGCACCAUUAGUUUUUGGAGCCCAAGGUGCUAAAAAGAAAGCAAACAGCAACACUUUGCAUCUAAUAAGAGUUGCUGCUUCAAACUGACUAACCUGAAGAACUGGGAUAGCUCUGGCUCUAACUUAGCUUUAGGAAGCUUGUGAAUAUCUUGCUUUGCCUCAUGUCAGUUCCCCAAACCAAAGCAAUCUCUCCUGAUGUUAAAGGAAAUCUCCUCCCUUGAGAACCAAGGGCCCAGGCAGACUCAUGAACUCACACCACGUAUCUUCAUUGUGCUCAUUAAUUUAGUCUUCUUACUCAACAUUCACCCAGAAAAUAUCCCAGGUACUUGACUAGAUCCUGUUCUUAAGCUUCCACAGUCUGAUUGAAGAGCUAAAACCUAUGCUUCAAGGCUGGAAGAUAAGACUGAAAGUGAUAAGCAUAGAUAACAGCUCUCUGAGCAUAAAGGAAGAGGUGAUGACCUGGAACGUUGUGAGGUAUCUCCUUGCAUCCAUCUUUCUGAAGGACUGCUAAACAUUCCUCAUGGAUGGCACACCUGGGUUUAGGACCUGAAAACAACGUGUCUCCUUUUCCUCCCCUCCUAUCCUAAAGUAACUGCCAGCAUGUACCAAUAUAUUAGGUCCCUUGACAGCCAUUUUUAGCAGAUUUCUCCUGUAAGAUCACUAGGAUCCCUUCUCAAAAAUCAAUGCUGCCUUAGGAAAAGUAGCUUGACUAGAAGAUGAGACAAAGAGAGAGAGAGGACAGGGAUAAGAUGAUUCCUCUUUCCUUCAGAUAGAAAGAGAGCAGGUUGGUUCACCCAUAAGCAUGUUAGCCUUGAUCUGGAGACUUGAAAGUGAUGUACAUCAGGAAAGUUAGAAAUGGAGUCUGUCUUAGUCAGUGCUGGAUGCUAUAACAAAAUAACACAGACUGAGUAGCUAAAACAACAAAUAUUUACUGCUUAUGGUUGAGAAGUCCCUGAUCAAUCGGUGCCAGCAGAUCUGAUGUCUGGUGAGAGGUCUCUUGCUGGUUUGCAGAUGGUUGCCUUCUGGUUUAUCCUUACAUGGCAGAAAGAGAUCUCUAGUCACUUCUGUCUUACAAGGGCACUAAUCCCACCAUAGGGGCUUCAUCCUCAUGACCCCAUUGAAACAAUUAUCUCUCAAGGGCCACACCUCCAAAUACCAUUGUGUUAGGGGUAGGGCUUCAAUAUAUGGAUUUGGGUGGACACAAAUAUUUGGUCCAUAGAAAACCUCUUUACUGCAUUGCCUCCAAGAAACAUGAGAGACCUGAAACUCAACAUCUUUACACCAUUCUAAAUAUUGCUCUUAGCCAUCAUUACUUUAUGUCCACAGAGCAUAUGACUCCAUCUGAGUUCAUGGACUUACAGAGGUUAGGUUAAGCAAGAUGCUAUAAAUGUGUACAUGGAUUACAGAGAACUAGAGAGAAGGCCAUUUUCUUAAGAAUGGCCAAGAGAGAGAGAUGGGGCCAAUAGCAUGGCACUGGCCUUGGAUCAGUCAACUAACCUUUAAGUUUUCAUUAUGAGACAAGAAGCCCUUGGGUCAUCCCCCCAAAACAUUCUCAUAAUGUCCUAUUAGUUCAACAGUGAUUUGUCAUUAGUUUCUGUUAAGAAUAAUUCUUUGGCACUGUUCUAUUCUCAUGAUGAAUUCUAACAUACGUCUUGAGAUGCAUUAUCAAGAGUUUCUGAAGUCAAGACAUAUCACAUCUAUUGUAUUCAUCAACCAUUUUCCCAAUUCCAAAAUAUUAGAUAUAUAGUAUGUGUAUGUAUAUUACCUUAACUCACAUUGCAUUACCUACAUAAUUUUAACAUAGGUCUAUUUUAAAGCUACAGAUUAUGUUCAUAGGUGUUGAUUAUUUAAAAAGUCCUCAUUGUUUAACAGUGAUGAGACAAAGUUUUGUUUUGUUUUUACCCAUAGGAAAUAGUAAUUCCUUAAUCUCCUAGUUGAGUCAGCAAACUAGACCAUAGAAGUUCACCUGUGGUUUAUCCAGCACUUUUCUCUACACAUGGCUGGGUGAGAGCAGGUUGGAAGGACUUCUGUAGGAGAGAGAUGGAUUGUUUAAGAAGCUGUGCUGUUACAUCACAUGGCCACAGGGUGCUGUCUUCCAGCCCCACUUCCCCCCCCCCGCCCCCCGCCGCCCCCAAGCAGGGUCAUACCUCCUUGCAAUCCAGGUGUAGCAGCAGGAGCACCAGAUUCACCACUGUCCCAUUAUACCAGCUCUCUUCUGCAAAAUGAAAAUGAUACUUUCUAAGCUCUGUCCAUCCUAAAAUCAUGUUAUCAGUGCACACACUCAACCAACAAAUGAGACAAAUAACUGUCUCUAGACUCUAAACUUCUAAGAAACCUGAAAAAAGUUUAGCUCCUCCCUUUUUAACCCAUCCUAAUGGUUAUGAGUGUUAAGAGCCCACAGAGAUCGCCCUUAAAUCAAAAGUAAACAUCCCCUAAAUCAAUUCAACUAUACUUUUCUCUUACUUGAUAAGAUGAAACCAAUUUCUCAUCAUCCUACUAAACAUUCACAAUAUAUAUAUCUUGAAGGUAAAAACCAUUUUGCUUCCUUCAAUCCUUUCUUUCUUUUUUUAAAAUCCUUUCUUUGUUGUUGAUGUCAAGUGAUUUAUGUGGACUGGGGUAAAGACCAGAGCAUCCACUCAUCAUGAGACAAGAAUCAGCCAUAUUGGAUGUACAGAGAUUAUUGAGCAAAAAAAAAAAAAAAAAA